UAAAACUUGAUUGAUUGGUUUGAAAUAGAAUUCAAACACUGAAACAGUUUGAGCUUCAACACUGAGCUGCUGUGGGAAAUGUUAACAGAUUUGCAGAUUUGCUAAGAACCAAUCUUCAGUCUUGUUUGGUCUUUUUCCAGCAGUCUUCACUCCUGCAGCACCUCAGCUCCCAUCCAGUCACUAUGUUCCUGUGGUCGUUGGUGUGACUCUGGCUGCCAUGAUGGUUCUGAUCCCAGCAGCUCUACUGGUUUCCUGCAGGAGAAGAUCUCUGAGAGAUUCAAGGAGGAGAGGAGACGAUGGAAUAAAGAUGGAGAACGUCGGCUAUGAGAACGUUUCCUCUCAGGACUCAACCUACCAGAGUCUCAGUCCUGCUACCACAGACCAGAACCAGAUCUACUCUACGCCCACACAGCCCAGAUGAGACCCUGGACUCAGGUUCUGGACUCAGGUUCUGGACUCAGGUUCUGGAUCUCAUGACUGCAGUUUGUUCAGUGAAUCUGAAACCAGAAGAAAGUUGGAUUUAGAAACUGAGCCUCAGUCUUUACUCUGUAUUUGCUUCAGCUGCUUAUAAUCGCAGAUUAGAUUUUUUUAAAGUUGGAAUAUUUUUAAAGCUGUUUUUUUAUGAAGAUAAAUUGCUGAUUUGCUUGAAUUGAAAUUUUGCAGCAGAAAAACAAUUGUGUUUAAUUCCUGAGGAAAGUUUGUUUUUCUAUUUUCAUUGAUUUUUGCGUAUCCUUAAGAGCUGUUAUGUUGGACAGUGCAUGUGCAAUAACACCUUCACCAUAUUUAGCUGUAACAUAAGUUAAGCAGGAAGUACAAAUCAUAACACCAACUCCUUCAGCACUGUUCUGUCCUGUAGAGCCAUAAGCUUCACUCAGUUAACUCAACUUUAACUUGUUCUAAGAAAACUGCAGCAUCAUCAGUUGAUUUAAAACCCUAACUUAUGGUUUCAAAGUGCAGCAUAAUUUUCCCUACUAUUACGGAUGGAAAGAGGUCUGUAAAACAAGUCCAGACCAUGUUUUACAGACCACUCAGUACUGGAGACUCAGUGACUCAGGGAGGCAAAAAAUACAAUAGAAAAGGUGAUUUCUCUGCUGCUGCGGUCGACCAAUCAGAUGUUUAGGUUUUAGGUCUUUAGUAACACACAAGACGAGUUUAAGUUAUUUCAUUUUUUACUUUAGAACAUGA